rnacentral:piRNA from 1 species
AAGGAGAAGAUGAGGCCACCCACUACC